AUUGAACGCUGGCGGCAGGCCUAACACAUGCAAGUCGGGCGGAGCGGCGGACGGGGGCGUAAUGCCUAGGAAUCUGCCUGGUCGUGGGGGAUAACGUUCGGAAAUGGGCGCUAAUACUGCAUCCUCUCAGAUGAGGCUAGGCCGGAUUAGCUAGUUGGUGGGGUAAAGGCCGAGCAAGGCGACGAUCCGUAGCUGGUCUGAGAGGAUGACCAGUCACACUGGAACUGAGACACGGUCCAGACUCCUACGGGAGGCAGCAGUGGGGAAUAUUGGACAAUGGGCGAAAGCCUGAUCCAGCCAUGCCGCGUGUGUGAAGAAGGGCUUCGGAUUGUAAAGCACUUUAAGUUGGGAGGCGUUACCAACAGAAUAAGCACCGGCUAACUUCGUGCCAGCAGCCGCGGUAAUAC
rnacentral:rRNA from 1 species